CAGAUAUUAGUUUAUAAAAAUAUUAAUUUUGGAGAUUAAAGAUGGGAAUAUUUUCUUGUAUCUGA
rnacentral:tRNA from 1 species